UAUUCAUCAUAACAUUACACUAAGCAAACACGGGACUCACUCGGGUCUUUCUCAAACACACACACACACACACACACACACACACACACACACACACACACACACACACACACACACACACACACACACACACACACACACACACACACACACACACACACACACACACACACACACACACACACACACACACACACACACACACACACACACACACACAGUUUCCCUUGUUCCUCUUUUAUUGUAUUUCCUUCAGUAACUGCAGAAAGUGAGCACAGAUAGUUACCAUGUCCGCAGGAAAACUCGCAUUUGCUCCUUCCUUUUUUCUCUAACGCGGAUGCGGAUUUCCUGCAAAGUUUGUUAUAGAAAAGAAAACGGUUUUUCUUUUACGGCCUCAACCGGUGACUCCUUUAUUUCCUCUUGUUAGCCUCCCUACGGAUAUAUUAAAAUGUGGUGUGUGUGUGUGUGUGUGUGUGUGUGUGUGUGUGUGUGUGUGUGUGUGUGUGUGUGUGUGUGUGUGUGUGUGUGUGUGUGUGUGUGUGUGUGUGUGUGUGUGUGUGUGUGUGUGUGUGUGUGUGUGUGUGUGUGUUCGUUCUAUUAAUAUUCUUGCACCUUUCUCUUUGCACUCUUUCUGAUGUGAAUUGUUCUUGUGUUGUUAUUGUAAUUCUACUUCUUUAAUACUGCUUUUUAUAAUUUCAAAGCUAUUGCUCUACGUAACAGUUUACUGAACAGUUUGAAAUGCUAUUUAACAACCUGAAAUGCUUUCGUAAUUUCUAGGUAAGGUAUAACUUUUGUAUUGUACUUUUCAAUGGACAAUUUUCUUCUUCUUCCUUUUUUUUUUUUUUUUGAGUACUUUGAUGAACUGUAAAAAAUGGGAGGUUCAUACGUGUCCAAAAAUAUGAAAGUUCCUUGCUAUUUGUAGAACCUUACUCUAUUUAAAAAAGAUUUUUACUCGUAUUAGAAGUCUUGGGCACUAAUUUUACAAGGGUUUGUUUCGCAUGUAUAGCGAUGAUUAUCUUAUAAAAUUACUGAGAAAAAUAGUCUACAUUUGAUUAUAUAUAAGGUUAUAUAUAAAGCAGAAAGAUUGGAAAGGUGCAAACAUCAUACUUAAAGAAAAUUAUAUUUUGUUUGUAUUGAUCCGUGGAUUUGCGAAUGGUUUUGCAUAUUUUCUAAAGGGAUCUCGUUUUCUUCCUUAAAAGUUAUAUAUGAUUCUGUUUUUCUGUAUUUUAUGAAAAUGUUUUAUACUUCUCAUUAGGUAUUGUCUUAUAAUUGAGAAUUUUAUAAAAAAGAAUUUUUGAAGCUUACCAAAAAAUACCUUUGAAGUUAAUUUAUAUUUUGAAGACGUUAUUUGUUAAUUUAUUCAUCUACCUAUUUGAUUUAUCUAUUAAUUUAUCUAAUCACUUUAUUUAUUUGUUUAUUUUUUUAAAGAUUUUACAUACUUAUAUUUCUUGUCUUGAAAAAAAAAAAAAAAUGUCGAGUUUAAAAGUGAAGAUGUAAGUAGUUUUUCCCCCUCUAUUUUUCUUCAGCGUAAAAUUUUGAGUGGAUAACCCUGACAUUUUACUUUCCUGUGUCUCAUCAUUCAUAACUGAGAUAACACUGUGUCGCUCAUCACUAACAGAUCUGCUAUUGUUUCCUCUUCCUGUGUGUGUUCCUUUGUACCGCCGUUGGAUUCGUGUUGCUGUUGUUGUUGUUGUUGUUGUUGUUGUUGUCGUUGGUGGUGGUGGUGGUGGUGGUGGUGGUGGUGGUGGUGGUGAUCGGCAGUCUUGACAGCCCCAGCGAUAGAAGGACAGGAACGAAGGCUGCAGUGACACACGUGACAGGAGGGAGAGACAAACUGAGCAAAGAAGGGAAACGAGGAAGGGAGGGAAAGAAGAAAUGGAGGAAAAAAAAGAAAUUGAUUGAGAGAAAAUGUUGUCUUUGUAGCAGCCAUGUAAGUGUUAUGACUUGAUAUUGUGUUUCACGCGCACAAAAAAAAAAAAAAAAAAAAAAAAAAAUCUCAUUGAGUUCAUGUAUUAUACUUUACACGAGUUUCCCUUUUUACUUCGUUGACACAUUACAUUUUCACUCACAUCUGGUACACGCGUUGCAGCGCCAAGAGUCCCUGUGUCUGUGUAUUUCAAGGGGUUCUUAUGCAUAUUAGUUUAAAAGUCUAGUGUAAGGUGCAGCACAUUUACAUAAACAUUAUUUAUUUAUUUAUUUUUUCGGUCGAAUGUUCGUGUAGAUGCUUGCUAUUCUGUUUUGUUGAAGAGGUUGAUGUAAUAUAUUUGGUCUCUGUCAUCAUUUUUCAGCUCAUGAUUUCGUAGUUUCCUGGCCAAGAUUUAUCUAGUUUCCUGUAAUGUUUAUUUUCUUUGUAUAUUUAUUUGUUCAUAGUUCAUAAUUCAUAGUAUUAUUUUUUUUGUCUUUUAAUAUUUUUCCUUCUAUAUAUCUUUUUCUUUCUUUCUUCAUUUUACACAUGUAUGCAAAGUUGUAUUCAAGAGUUCCGUGUAAUAUUUCUUUUCUCUUUCCUUCCAGGAGCGUCACGUUGGUUCCCGGAAUGUCACGGACGCUCAAGUGCAGUGGUGUUUCCGUGCCUCCUGCCCGUUAAAGUAUUAAAAGAAGACUGGAGGCACUUCGAGUAACAGUAAUGGUGGCAGCAAUGGUUGUGUUAAAGAGUGGAGGUGUUUUGAGUUAGAUUGGUGACGUGUGAGAGGAAGCAACACGUGGACGAUGACGAGGGUGACUAUGAAGCAGGUAAUGCAGUGAGCCGCCUGUGCACUCACCACGCUCACCGCUCACUGCAGGGACGAGCCUCAACCUUUGCUCCUCCCGAAAGUGCACCGAGGAGGAGCGGAGAGAGGCGAGUGUGGAGGAGAAUGUUGCUAUACUUCAUGAUUCUUCCAGUAAGGUCUGGAUGUGAUAUUGUUGACAUCCGGUCUUCGGGUAAGACUGCCUCUGGAGUCUUCUCUGCCUUCCUCCUCCAAAUCCUCCACUUCUUGAGAAUGUAGAAACCCGCUGCAUAGGGGAAGAAAGUGUGGAAAGAAAGAUGAAUGCGAAGGCCACCCAUAUUAGUGUUCAGAAUGUCCCGCGGUCACCAAAGUCAUCCUGGAGCCAUGAACUGCUGAUAGAACCGACAGAGCUUCUUGUGGAGAGGAAAGGGACGAUGCCGGAGACGGACAGCACGGUGCUGAAGAUGCCGGUGUGGGCCACGCUAAGGCCGAGCGUCGCCUGGUGCACAGUGAGCUGCGGCCACAGGAUCACUAUCGCUGCAACACAUCCAUGGUCUGAAUGUGAUAUUGUUGACACCUUGUCAUCGUGUACCACAACGUCUGGAGUCUUUGCCUCCCGUUGCCACAUCCUCCAUCUCUUGAGACUGUAGAAACUGGCGGCGUAGAGGAAGGUGGAGGCGAAGGCCACCCACGCGAGUAUUCUGUAUGAUUCCCGUUCACCAAAAGCAUCCUGGAGCCACGAACCGCUGGCAGCACCUAUGGAUUUUCCUGCGGAGCCCCCGAGGAAAGGCGUGAAGAUGCUGAAGGCGGACUCAACGGUACUGAAGAUUCCGGUGUGGGCCAUGCUGAGGCCGAGUGCCGCCUGGUGCACCGUGAACUGCGGCCACACGAUCACUAUCGCUGCAGCAAAACCAU